AGUUCGAUCGAUACCGUCGAAUCACAUCCGUGAUCGUUAACGUAUCGCGACGCGAAUCAUUUCGAUUCCAAUUGAAUGAUUGAAAGCUUUUCGCGAUCGAUCAAAACAAUUUAUCGAUUAUAUUUAUUCAAUCCGUUAUUCGAUUAACAUAUAUUUAAAUAUAAAUCCCGAAUAAAUAGAAAUAUUUAUAUUCUAUUCAAAAUUUAUUUCUUUUGUUCAGUACAUUAUAAAAAGCUUUUUCUACCUAUAUUUCUAACUAUUUUUUGUAAGGAUCAGGUAAAAAAAAACGAUUGUAACAUAUUUUUUUCACUUCGUCAAACAUAACCUCUAAUUCAUCAAAAUCAAUAUCGUGAAACAUCGACAUCGAAGAUUAAGAGAACUCGCUGAAAGCAUGUUCGAAAUGUCAUAUUGUAUCGAGUGCAUCGUAAGCAUGACGUAGAAAAAUAGAAAAUACUAAUAUACAUACUAUGUACAGCCUGAUGUGCAAUGCCGGGGUUCAAUUUGACGUGUAAUCGGAAGAAAAGACUGUGCGCGCCGACUAAGUGUCAGGUCACGUGCGCGCGCAUUAAGUGUCGCUGCACACGUGCACACGAAUACAGGCGGCAUGCAACUAUGUGCGGGCAAAGCUGCGCGGUCGUUAGGCGACUCUUUCCUCGUCAUGCUCUCCUAUCAUACCAGCCACGUUACACGCGCGCAACGGCCAUGUUCGAAUAUCAUUGUACAGCAUCGUGUGCGUGUAUUCUCAGUACCUAUAAAACAAUGUUAAGAUGUCGACAUGUGGUGCAACAUAUUUUCAGAUGGUAAACGGCACUGUCUCCCCACCUAUCUUAGACGAGACCAUACUACGUGGCCUGAGCGAAUUAUGUGAGUCGCGCCAAAUCUUGUAGGUGACGAGUCUUGAAAACUGACCACUGGAAAUCUAAUUACGAGGCGUUAUACCGAACAACCCAAAUGACCACUCGAGGAAUUCGCAGGACGCGUCUCCAUUUUCUGCGCGCGCACAUCUUUCUGCGCGAAUCUGGAUGCGCAGUGCCAGCAUAGUGCCAGCUUUCAAGAUACAUAUAUUUUAUGUCGUGGAUCAAAAAAGUUUUCAGAAGAAAAUAUAAAUUAUAAUAAAAUGCUGGAAGUUCAUAAUUUAAUAAAAAUAUGCAUUUGUCGUAUAAUAUAAUAAAAUAUAUAAUAUAUAAUUGUAUAA